UACGGAGGGUGCAAACGUUGCUCGGAAUCAUUGGGCGUAAAGCGCACGUAGGCGGACCGCUAAGUCGGAUGUGAAAGCCCUCGGCUUAACCGAGGAAGUGCAUUCGAAACUGACAGUCUUGAGUAUGGAAGAGGGUCGCGGAAUUCCCGGUGUAGAGGUGAAAUUCGUAGAUAUUAGGAAGAACACCAGUGGCGAAGGCGGCUCACUGGUCCGGUACUGACGCUGAGGUGCGAAAGCGUGGGGAGCAAACAGG
rnacentral:rRNA from 1 species